rnacentral:rRNA from 1 species
UACGUAGGGCGCAAGCGUUGUCCGGAAUUAUUGGGCGUAAAGAGCUCGUAGGCGGCCUGUUGCGUCCGCUGUGAAAUCCCGGGGCUCAACCCCGGGCCUGCAGUGGAUACGGGCUGGCUAGAGGCAGGCAGGGGAGAACGGAAUUCCUGGUGUAGCGGUGAAAUGCGCAGAUAUCAGGAGGAACACCGGUGGCGAAGGCGGUUCUCUGGGCAUGAUCUGACGCUGAGGAGCGAAAGUGUGGGGAGCGAACAGG